AUUGAACGCUGGCGGCAUGCUUUACACAUGCAAGUCGAGCGGUAACAGGCCUUCGGGUGCUGACGAGUGGCGAACGGGUGAGUAAUGCAUCGGAACGUACCCAGAGGUGGGGGAUAACGCAGCGAAAGCUGUGCUAAUACCGCAUGUGAUCUGAGGAUGAAAGCGGGGGACCGAGCAGCAAUGUUUGGCCUCGCGCGUUUGGAGCGGCCGAUGUCGGAUUAGCUAGUUGGUGGGGUAAAGGCCUACCAAGGCGACGAUCCGUAGCUGGUCUGAGAGGACGACCAGCCACAUUGGGACUGAGACACGGCCCAGACUCCUACGGGAGGCAGCAGUGGGGAAUUUUGGACAAUGGGCGCAAGCCUGAUCCAGCAAUGCCGCGUGCGGGAAGAAGGCCUUCGGGUUGUAAACCGCUUUUGGCAGGAACGAAACGGUGUCCGCUAAUACCGGGCGCUAAUGACGGUACCUGCAGAAUAAGCACCGGCUAACUACGUG
rnacentral:rRNA from 1 species